UACGUAGGGGGCAAGCGUUGUCCGGAAUCAUUGGGCGUAAAGAGCGUGUAGGCGGUCCGGUAAGUCCGCUGUGAAAGUCCAGGGCUCAACCCUGGAAUGCCGGUGGAUACUGCCGGGCUAGAGUCCGGAAGAGGCGAGUGGAAUUCCUGGUGUAGCGGUGAAAUGCGCAGAUAUCAGGAGGAACACCGAUGGCGAAGGCAGCUCGCUGGGACGGUACUGACGCUGAGACGCGAAAGCGUGGGGGAGCAAAACAGG
rnacentral:rRNA from 1 species